UUCUGUUUACUGUUUUCCUUUUAUUAUAUAAAUGAUGUAAGACCACAAAGUGGACACGUAAAUUCGGUUUCAGUUCGUCUAAAAGUGUGCAAAGUUAAAUUAUAAGGUUUAUAAGUGAGCCAAAUGCGUUUAGUUAGGGUUGAGGGACAUUCUUUUUAAGAGCUGAUCCCGGUUGACCUAAUUCAAACCGAAGUAAGAGCUGGUUGCGGCAAAAUGGGCUACUUAUCACUUUUAUUUCUCGUCGGUGUCAGCAGCAUUUGCCUAACUGAAGGUCAGCAGUUGGACAAUUCGAGCGAAUUAAUGUCACAGAAUAAAACCGAGCAGUUGGAGAAUUCGAGCGAAUUAAUGUCACAGAAUAAAACCGAGCCACGCACAGCUCUCUUCGCAUCACUUUCGAUGGAAAUAUUUGUAGGUUUCAAGAAAAACUUGGAGCAGAGUAAAGACGAUAUAGUCAAAUGCGAGGGAGUUCUGGAAAAUGGCUUGAAUAUAUUAAUUCAAAAACUCGAAGACUUGAUCAACUCCUGCGAAGCCAUCAUCAAUUCUUGUGUGAUCAUCUGCGGCUUGGCAGCGCUGGCCCAAAUUCCGAUGAUGCUUAUCAAAAUAGUAGAUUCCUUGAUUUGUACGGCUGGUUUGCCGCCCGUAUCACCGUGUAGGAAACAAGCUAUUAACAAUUUAAAUGAUCAACUAAAUAAAUGCAAGGUUGAUUUGACAAGACGAUAAUUAACUUAUCUUCAAAUUGAUCCGUUUUUGUGUGCGUUCAUUGUAAGGAUUGUCAAGUUUAUUAAAUCGAUUGGCAGUAAAUAUA